rnacentral:lncRNA from 1 species
CCAGCCGUCAUCAUAUGAAUCAAUCCUUCUGGAGUGGUGGUAGUCUCUACUCUGAUCUGACUCAAGGCUCGAAUCAAAGCAUCUCUAUGAGUACUGGAUGAUGCUAAUAAACUCCAGAUGGAAAUGCGAGCCUGAGUGCUCUGUAGCUGUCUCAAAACCUCAUCAUCCUCUCUCCUAACCUCCUCAUGAGAGGCUGUACCCUCAAAUGGUCUGACUGCUGGUGGUGGUGGCUGAGCUAUCCUCCCACUACGAGUCACAAUCUGUAUCUCUCUCCCCUCUGAAUCAUCAUCCUCUG